CACUCCUGCGGGAGGCAGCAGUGGGGAAUUUUGGACAAUGGGCGAAAGCCUGAUCCAGCAAUGCCGCGUGAGUGAAGAAGGCCUUCGGGUUGUAAAGCUCUUUUGUCAGGGAAGAAACGGUGAGAGCUAAUAUCUCUUGCUAAUGACGGUACCUGAAGAAUAAGCACCGGCUAACUACGUGCCAGCAGCCGCGGUAAUACGUAGGGUGCAAGCGUUAAUCGGAAUUACUGGGCGUAAAGCGUGCGCAGGCGGUUUUGUAAGUCUGAUGUGAAAUCCCCGGGCUCAACCUGGGAAUUGCAUUGGAGACUGCAAGGCUAGAAUCUGGCAGAGGGGGGUAGAAUUCCACGUGUAGCAGUGAAAUGCGUAGAUAUGUGGAGGAACACCGAUGGCGAAGGCAGCCCCCUGGGUCAAGAUUGACGCUCAUGCACGAAAGCGUGGGGAGCAAACAGGAUUAGAAACCCGGGUAGUCCCAUGA
rnacentral:rRNA from 1 species